rnacentral:rRNA from 1 species
UACGUAGGGUGCAAGCGUUGUCCGGAAUUAUUGGGCGUAAAGGGCUCGUAGGCGGUCCGUCACGUCGGGAGUGAAAACUUGGGUCUUAACCCCAAGCCUGCUUCCGAUACGGGCGGACUAGAGGUAGGCAGGGGAGAACGGAAUUCCUGGUGUAGCGGUGAAAUGCGCAGAUAUCAGGAGGAACACCGGUGGCGAAGGCGGUUCUCUGGGCCUUACCUGACGCUGAGGAGCGAAAGCGUGGGGAGCAAACAGG